UACAGAGGCCUCGAGCGUUGCGCGGAAUCACUGGGCUUAAAGGGUGCGUAGGCCGGUGUGCAAGUACCUUGUGAAAUCCCAGAGCUUAACUCUGGAACUGCUUGGUAGACUGCAUGCCUUGAGGUCGGUAGGGGCCGCUGGAACAGUUGGUGGAGCGGUGAAAUGCGUAGAUAUCAACUGGAACGCCAAAGGUGAAGACAAGCGGCUGGGCCGAUUCUGACGCUGAGGCACGAAAGCGUGGGGAGCAAACGGG
rnacentral:rRNA from 1 species